rnacentral:rRNA from 1 species
AGAGCGAACGCUGGCGGCAGGCUUAACACAUGCAAGUCGAACGGAUCCUUCGGGAUUAGUGGCGGACGGGUGAGUAACACGUGGGAACGUGCCUUUUGGUUCGGAACAACUCAGGGAAACUUGAGCUAAUACCGGAUGUGCCCUUCGGGGGAAAGAUUAUCGCCAUUAGAGCGGCCCGCGUCUGAUUAGCUAGUUGGUGAGGUAAAGGCCCACCAAGGCUACGAUCAGUAGCUGGUCUGAGAGGAUGACCAGCCACAUUGGGACUGAGACACGGCCCAAACUCCUACGGGAGGCAGCAGUGGGGAAUCUUGCGCAAUGGGCGAAAGCCUGACGCAGCCAUGCCGCGUGAAUGAUGAAGGUCUUAGGAUUGUAAAAUUCUUUCACCGGGGACGAUAAUGACGGUACCCGGAGAAGAAGCCCCGGCUAACUUCGCGCCAGCAGCCGC